rnacentral:lncRNA from 1 species
GUACAAGAGGAAGGAACCUCAAACCGGAGGAGUGCAAAGUAGAGCAAUGCAGGUAAAUGUCUACUCCUUUCGAAUUUAUUGAGUGCUUUAAUGUUGAGUUAGGUAGUUAAUGGUUGUGUUAGUAAUAAAUAGGUGUAAUGGCUAGGUUGAUGGUUAGAUAGAAAACGUGAUGAAGUGUGAUGAAUGUGUUUGGUUGAUGUCAAGUCCAUUUAAUUGUUUCUUCUCUUUAAAAUAGCGUUCUUUGUUUUCUCUGUUCUGGCAUCAACAUCGCUUCUUCUUCUCUUCCUUCUAUCUGUUUUAUCUUCUCCUUUUUCCCUUUCUUUUUGUGACAUUCUUGGGGAUGGAUUCCAA